GGAUGUGAGGGCGAUCUGGCUGCGACAUCUGUCACCCCAUUGAUCGCCAGGGUUGAUUCAGCUGAUCUGGCUGGCUAGGCGAGUGUCCCCCUCCUCCCUCACUGAUCCAUGUGCGUCCCUCCCAAAGCUGCGCGCUCGGUCGAAGAGGAGAGGACCGGUCUUUGGUCAAGGGUAUACGAGUAGCUGCGCUCCCCUGCUAGAACCUCCAAACAAGCUCUCAAACUCAGAUCUAAAAUCAGCUUGUUGCCCAGCCGGAGUGGCUCAGUGGUUGAGCUUCGACGUAUGAACCAGGAGGUCACGGUUUGAUUC
ensembl:misc_RNA 7SK 7SK RNA